rnacentral:rRNA from 1 species
UACGUAGGGUGCGAGCGUUGUCCGGAAUUAUUGGGCGUAAAGGGCUCGUAGGCGGUCUGUUGCGUCGGUAGUGAAAACUCAGGGCUUAACCCUGAGCCUGCUUCCGAUACGGGCAGACUAGAGGUAUGCAGGGGAGAACGGAAUUCCUGGUGUAGCGGUGAAAUGCGCAGAUAUCAGGAGGAACACCGGUGGCGAAGGCGGAUCUCUGGGCCGAUACUGACGCUGAGGAGCGAAAGCGUGGGGAGCGAACAGG